UGGCUCUGCUGCUGCGCUUCCAGAUAUUCUGAUAUGUAGCUGUGCCUCUUAUGACUUCAAGCUGGAGCAAGGGGGAGCGAGAAUAAACAGACUAAAAAUAACUAAGGAAGAGUGACUAAACAAGGUUGUAGAUCAUUUGAAGUGUGAAGGAAUGAAACAGAUAGGAAGACAGGCUAAAGGGGUUUUAAUGCUUCAGUCUUAGCAGUUGAGAGCUGGUCCUGAGCACGACUUUGUCCUGGAGGAAGGCUUCACAGGAAAGAGAUGAGGGAAAUCUGCUUCACUGAAAUAACUAGGACUCAGCAUUUGUGUGUGCAGACCAGCAAGAAGGGACAUAAAGUAUAUUUGCUGAAGUUUUUGAGUUUAUUGAAAUAUUUCUAAUUUAUACAUUUAAAAGCAAAACGCUGCAGACUUUUAUUGUCUGACCUUUAAGAAAGCACAUUUUAGAAUUUAUCACUCAGAUGCUAUGAGGCUGACAUGAACUCAUCGCUUAUUUUUCUUAAUGGGAUUUCCCCGAAAACUCAGAUUUCCCGGAUGGAUGUUUUCGAUUUCACUUUGCCAAAGAGAAAACCAGCCCGCUGAUCCCCGCCCACAGCUAUAAAGGAGCGUGGACCUCCAUGUUGCUAUCUUUUCUGCUCUCAGUUCAUUACAGACACCAUCUGGCCAACAAACUUUGGGCUCGGAGAUUUUUUAUUAACAAACGUUUUUUUUUUUCGUUUUCCCAACGAAACUAUCUGGACACGAUGCUUUCCUGUUACCUUUUCCUCGUUAUUUCUUUGAUGAUCUCCUGCCGAGACGUCCGCGUGUCCGCCUCUAGUUCUAGCUGCACAGAGGAUCCUGUGUUCACUCCAUCUGCGCUGGUAGUGAAGUACGGUGACCCAGCCAAUGUUACAUGUGUUGUAUGUCAGAAGAACUGCAGUGGAGAUGUCUUUGAUUUGGAGCACGCUGUGGGAAAAGUUACAAAAAAUGGAACCACGAUGUUCUGGACAGUUGACAGACUGACUGAAUGGGAAAUACCUCUACUGUGCUUUUAUACCAGUAAUCAGUGUACUAGCAUUCUGAAUCCAACUCUUUAUCAGCCUCCAGAAAGUGUCUCCAUCAGCUUUGUAAACCACACUGAGAUGAUGUUUGAGAAUCAGCAGUACACCCUGCAGUGUAG